AUCGCUUCUCGGCCUAUUGAGGCUAAGAUCAAAGUGUAGUAUCUGUUCUUAUCAGCUUAAUAUCUGAUACACUCUCCAAUGGAGAGUCAGAAUAUUAAUCUGAUUUUUUGAAAUUGACGGAGUGUUGAAGCUUGCUUCAUCUCUGUCACGGGUCGGCCUGGCAUUGCACUACCGUCAGGAUUGGCUCAAUAUUA